GUGUGUCUGAGUGACUGUAUGCCUGUAACUGAGUGUCUGUGUGUGUGACUGUCUGCCUGUAACUGUGUGUCUGUGUGACUGUCUGCCUGUACCUGUGUGUAUGACUGUCUCCUGUAACUGAGCGUGCGUAACUGUCUGCUUGUACCUGUGUGUGUGUGAUUGUAUGCCUGCAACUGAGUGUGUGUGUGUAUGUGUGUGUGUGUGACUGUCU